AGAAAGGAGUCUCCUGCUUCUCCUGCUCCCAGUGCCUGCCUUCCUGGAUGUUGUGGCUGCUGCAGCUUUGCUGGGAGGCAGGAUGUACCAGAAUGGUGAGGAGCUGCGAGUGGCUUAAUCACUACAUUUACUCAGCUUUGUGACUAAUGCCUGUGUCACUUAACAAGCUUUAUUAACAAUAUAGUGACCUUGAAAACUCUGCA